rnacentral:rRNA from 1 species
UACGUAGGUGGCGAGCGUUGUCCGGAAUUAUUGGGCGUAAAGAGCGCGUAGGCGGGAUGAUAAGUCUGUUGUAAAAGUGCGGGGCUCAACCCCGUAAGGUCAAUGGAAACUGUCAUUCUUGAGUGCAGGAGAGGAAAGUGGAAUUCCCAGUGUAGCGGUGAAAUGCGUAGAUAUUGGGAGGAACACCAGUGGCGAAGGCGACUUUCUGGACUGUGUCUGACGCUGAGGCGCGAAAGCUAGGGGAG